rnacentral:rRNA from 1 species
GAUGAACGCUGGCGGCGUGCUUAACACAUGCAAGUCGAACGAUGAAAGCGGGAGCUUGCUCCUGCUGGAUUAGUGGCGAACGGGUGAGUAACACGUGAGUAACCUGCCCUUGACUCUGGGAUAAGCGUUGGAAACGACGUCUAAUACCGGAUACGAGCUUCAGUCGCAUGACUAGGAGCUGGAAAGAAUUUCGGUCAAGGAUGGACUCGCGGCCUAUCAGCUAGUUGGUGAGGUAAUGGCUCACCAAGGCGACGACGGGUAGCCGGCCUGAGAGGGUGACCGGCCACACUGGGACUGAGACACGGCCCAGACUCCUACGGGAGGCAGCAGUGGGGAAUAUUGCACAAUGGGCGAAAGCCUGAUGCAGCAACGCCGCGUGAGGGACGACGGCCUUCGGGUUGUAAACCUCUUUUAGUAGGGAAGAAGCGAAAGUGACGGUACCUGCAGAAAAAGCACCGGCUAACUACGUGCCAGCCGCCGCGGUAAGAC